CCCUUCGAUGUUCUGGGCUGCACGCGCGCUACAAUGAUAAAGUCAACGAGUAUUUUAGCUUGUGAGAGAUCACUGGCAAAUCUUAGAAACUUUAUCGUAUUAUGGAUUGCUGAUUGCAAUUAUUCGGCAUGAAACAGGAAUGCCUAGUAUCGGUGAGUCAUCAGCUUGCCGAGAUUACGUCCCUGCCCUUUGUACACACCGCCCGUCGCUCCUACCGAUUGGGUGUGCUGGUGAAAUGUUCGGAUCGGCCGUUUGUCGCGGUUUCCGCGUCAUGUGGCUGAGAAGUUCAUUAAACCCUCCCACCUAGAGGAAGGAGAAGUCGUAACA
rnacentral:rRNA from 1 species